GACGAACGCUGGCGGCGUGCUUAACACAUGCAAGUCGAACGGUGAAGCGAGUGCUUGCACUCGUGGAUCAGUGGCGAACGGGUGAGUAACACGUGAGUAACCUGCCCAUCACUCUGGGAUAAGCACUGGAAACGGUGUCUACUACUGGAUACGACCAACCCUUGCAUGGGGUGUUGGUGGACAGCUUUAUCGGUGAUGGAUGGACUCGCGGCCUAUCAGCUUGUUGGCGGGGUAAUGGCCCACCAGGGCGACGACGGGUAGCCGGCCUGAGAGGGUGACCGGCCACACUGGGACUGAGACACGGCCCAGACUCCUACGGGAGGCAGCAGUGGGGAAUAUUGCACAAUGGGCGAAAGCCUGAUGCAGCGACGCCGCGUGAGGGAUGACGGCCUUCGGGUUGUAAACCUCUUUCAGCAGGGAAGAAGCGAAAGUGACGGUACCUGCAGAAGAAGCACCGGCUAACUACGUG
rnacentral:rRNA from 1 species